CCAGAAUAUGAUCUUGGGCCUGUGAGUGAAGAAGCUUGUCCAUAGCACACUGGGAGGGCAGCAGAAGAACAGAUGCCCAUGCUGAGGCAGCUGACCAAGGGACUCUUGGCAUAAACAAGAUAUGGCUACCAAAUCCGUCUAUGUGUGAAUAGCUGUCCCGUCUUCAGACUUCUGAUUUCCAUCCCUCCUUUUGUGGCAAAAGUCUUCCUGCUCAGAACACACUUUAAAUUUCCUAGACGGAAGUAAUGUGAGAAAAGCAUCUAGCAUGUGGUUGGUGAUGUUAAUGAGACCUUCCUGAAAAUGGGAAUUUGAAGUCAGUCCUAAUCGGAAUCCUGAUCGCAGGCAUAGUGUAAUUCCAAAGAGAGCGAAUGUGGUUUACUCCUGAAUGUUUCAGACUCUUAACUUGAACACUUUCUUUAUCCCAGUUUUCUCAGUUUUACAAAUCUUCUCUGGUUGGAAAGCUGUUAAAGUAAGAAAAUCAUGGAAGUCAAGGCUGAAGUAGACUUUAAAGAGGAGGUACGUAUCAGACCAUUAAUUUUAAAGAUGAGGAAAUUGUGGCCCAGAGAGGUGGAACGUUUUGGCAAAAGUCACAAAGUUAGCUGGAUACAGAAGCCAGGACUAAAAACUAGGUCUUUUAAACUUCAAUAUUGUACUCCCUACUUUUUAAAUAAUUGGAAUAUGUCCAUAUUUCUUACUAUGCUGUGGGAUGAGUGAAUAAUUUUGUAUAUUUUAUCCUAAACAUAAAUUUAUUGAGCACUAU